UACGUAGGGGGCAAGCGUUGUCCGGAAUCAUUGGGCGUAAAGCGCGUGUAGGCGGUUCGGUAAGUCGGCUGUGAAAGUCCAGGGCUCAACCCUGGGAUGCCGGUCGAUACUGCCGGACUAGAGUUCGGAAGAGGCGAGUGGAAUUCCCGGUGUAGCGGUGAAAUGCGCAGAUAUCGGGAGGAACACCAAUGGCGAAGGCAGCUCGCUGGGACGUUACUGACGCUGAGACGCGAAAGCGUGGGUAGCAAACAGG
rnacentral:rRNA from 1 species